rnacentral:rRNA from 1 species
AGAGUUUUUAACUCAAGUGGCGGACGGGUGAGUAACACGUAAGAAUUUACCUUUAGGAGGGGGAUAACAACUGGAAACGGUUGCUAAUACCCCAUAUGCUUUCGAGUGAAACGGAUUUCCGCCUAAAGAGAAGCUUGCGGCUGAUUAGCUUGUUGGUGGGGUAAUAGCCUACCAAGGCGACGAUCAGUAUCUGGUUUGAGAGGACGAUCAGACACACUGGAACUGAGACACGGUCCAGACUCCUACGGGAGGCAGCAGUAGGGAAUUUUCCGCAAUGGGCGAAAGCCUGACGGAGCAAUACCGCGUGAGGGAUGACUGCCUAUGGGUUGUAAACCUCUUUUUUCAGGGAGGAAUCAAUGACGUGUACCUGAAGAAUAAGCAUCGGCUAACUCCGUGCCAGCAGCCGCGGUAAGACGGAGGAUGCAAGUGUUAUCCGGAAUCACUGGGCGUAAAGCGUCUGUAGGUGGCCUAAUAAGUCAACUGUUAAAUCUUGGAGCUCAACUUCAAAAUCGCAGUCGAAACUAUUAGACUAGAGUAUAGUAGAGGUAAAGGGAAUUUCCAGUGGAGCGGUGAAAUGCGUAGAGAUUGGAAAGAACACCGAUGGCGAAGGCACUUUACUGGGCUAUGACUGACACUCAGAGACGAAAGCUAGGGUAGCAAAUGGGAUUAGAUACCCCAGUAGUCCUAGCCGUAAACAAUGGAUACUAGGUGUUGAACAGGUUAACCUGUGCAGUACUAAAGCUAACGCGUUAAGUAUCCCGCCUGGGAAGUAUGCUCGCAAGAGUGAAACUCAAAGGAA